GCAUGUUUGGCUCAGUGGUAGAGCCUCGCUCUUGUAAAGUGGAGGUCAGUAGUUCGAUUCAGUAAAUAAAAG